UGGUGUUGGGUUUAGGGGGUAGUGAAGGAUUUUAGGUUUUUAUCUGUAUACUAUUGCAGUGUUUGCUUGUGUAGUGAAUAAAAAUGUAUUAAAUAUUAUAUGAAAAAAAUCUUAAACAGGAUGUCAGGGAGGUGGAAAGGGAAUUGGGCAAAGCAGGGGACCCAGCAGCCUGCACACCCUGAGGCCAGCACUGGGGAGUGUGUAGGAGACAACCCCAGGGCAGGACACAGGGUGGGAACUGGGUUGUGCCCUGGAAGACUGUGAGGACAGUACAAAUUUGAAUUAAAGCACAGAGUAGCCAACAAGAACGCAUCACACAGAACCUAAGUCUCUGGACAGGGGAUUUAGAGAAACUUGUCACCAGGAAAUGUGGUUAGGACAAGAGUCUUGAUGACUGGCAUGGGAGCUGGUAAAGGGCGUGGUUAAUGAUCUGCAGGCUGGCAGGCGUCAGAGGCACUGGGUCUGCAGCCAAGUCUGCAGAAAGGGGCCCCAGAGUGGAGCAUGGGCUUGUCCAGUUGCCUUCAGACGCAUCCUGUGCGUUCCAGGUACCUUGAGCAGGAGGGUUGGCGAUCUGUCGCAAAUAGCCUUGUGGCUGGCAAAACAGUAUUGCGUGACCUUCCAACCCUCACCUGGACUGUUUAAUCAGAGCCUUGGGCCUAGAACAUUUUCUGACAAUGGAAAGUGGCUACCGAGUCUUCUUCAGUCCCAUUUUUUUUUUUUUAAUUCUUAUUAGGGAAACUCCUUCCCUGUUCUGGGUGCAGAGUAAACCUUCUUUGUACUGCUUUACAAAGACAUGUGUAUUAUAUGGCACCUGGCCAACCCUACUUCUAUAUCUGUUCCCAGCAGGGAGGGAAUGGGGUCUUUCACCUGCAGCAUGGAAGAAAGGUGUGUGCAGACCAUCAGCCCUGUGCCACCUAUGGAGUGAGACCUGCUGGCCACAGGAGACCGCCACCCACAUACGGAGCUUACCUUGUGCUGUCUCUCUUUUCCCCCCGCCCCUGUCUAAGAACCGAGAUGAAGCAGUAAGAGCGGCAGCCAGCCUGGUGGGGUCUCGAGGCUGGGUGAGGGAAGAUGACAGAAGAUGGGGCAUGAGCUCUGUGACCCCUGACUAGAGGGGAGCGUUCACCUCAGCAGAUGACAGCCUGGACUUGGAACAGAAUGAUGGCCCUUCUCCUGUGUGUGCGGGACUUUGUCUUAAUGGCCUCGCUGACAAGAAGAUUGAAGAGUACUUGUUACAGUGAAAUUAAAGGGUAAGUUUUAUUUACUAACUUAUUGUUCAGGGUUCCCCAUACAAAUCAGUUUUAAAUCCUGUCAAUGGUCAAAUUGGAAAAUGUUGAAGGAAAAACUCUAUAAGAAAAAUAACUCAAGAUACUUGUAUUUUUCUCUCCUGUAGAAUAUUGUAAGAUAUAAGUAUGAAACUGUGCUGAACCGUAUGUCUGUGCCAAAUUUGUGUAGAGCUUGCAAGUUACAAAUGACUUUCAAUUACAUGUUUUCUGUUGUCACCAACCGCUCCAGAUCUUUUCAGUUCCUGGAAUCCUCCCCUCCUCAAUGACAACAAGGGCCGUCCACCAUGCCCCCUCCACUAGGGUCUUCACCUGCAAUAUGUGCUGUACGUUCUUUGCCCUGGACCCUGGAGGACACAUACUAAAUGCUGGGUUUUAAGAGGAAGUGUGGAGAAGUAUAAAUAGCUGACCCUGAGCAUUCUUCUGGGAGGGUGGGAAGUUCUGUAGACCCAGAGCAGAGGGCUCUAGUCAGGAUAUCCAAGAAAAAGCCUUUAAGAGAAGGCUACUGGAAGUCUACCUGGGAACACUGACCUCACGGACAUGAUAGGAGAGAGGGUGUAAUAUGCCCAUUUUACAGACAGAGAAACUGAGUCCCUCUGCCCUUGCAUCCAUUCUGAGAGGAGAGGAGUAGGCAUCUAGUGCUUCCUGUCCUUACCCCUACUGGGUCAAUUGUGGUCUCAGCUUCUCCUAGAAGGGUCAAUAGAAUGGGAUUCCACAGCUAAGAGGGAGGGACCCAGAGCCACGUUUUCCUCUAAUAGGGCCACAGGUUCUGCCAUUCCCUAUGACUCCUAGUUCCGUAUUACCUGGGGGCUUCUCAUAGCCCAGCUCCCACCAUGUCAUCUGCCGCAAGCUCCUCCUGGGAGAAUUAUACCCAUGAUAGGGUUAUCUGUGAGUUUGUGAGUACACGGGUAACCCCUCAAAGGACUGGGGGACAGAGACUGACUUUGGGACCCUCUCUCUGCAGCUCUGAUUCCUGGGGAUCCAAGUUAACUUCCAAGACAACUGAGAUCCCAGCCCCCAGAUGCUGGCGGGGAGGCCACAGCACAGAGAAAUGGUGACUCCACCCUCCAAGUUCUCAAUGUCUGCUGGAGGCCCACUGUCACACAGCAAAGACUCCACAGACUCUCUCAAGAUGGGAAGUGCAGAUUUGAACUCAAACUACUCAUAGUCAUUCCUACCACUUGCAACAUUUAUCCAAAAUGCACUAUCCGACUUGAACGUCCAGGCGUUCACCAGGGAAGACA